GACGAACGCUGGCGGCGUGCUUAACACAUGCAAGUCGAACGGAAAGGCCCUGCUUUUGUGGGGUGCUCGAGUGGCGAACGGGUGAGUAACACGUGAGUAACCUGCCCUUGACUUUGGGAUAACUUCAGGAAACUGGGGCUAAUACCGGAUAGGAGCUCCUGCUGCAUGGUGGGGGUUGGAAAGUUUCGGCGGUUGGGGAUGGACUCGCGGCUUAUCAGCUUGUUGGUGGGGUAGUGGCUUACCAAGGCUUUGACGGGUAGCCGGCCUGAGAGGGUGACCGGCCACAAUGGGACUGAGGUACGGCCCAGACUCCUACGGGAGGCAGCAGUGGGGAAUAUUGCACAAUGGGCGGAAGCCUGAUGCAGCAACGCCGCGGUCGGGAUGACGGCCUUCCGGUUGUAAACCGCUUUCGCCUGUGACGAAGCGUGAGUGACGGUAAUGGGUAAAGAAGCACCGGCUAACUACGUG
rnacentral:rRNA from 1 species